rnacentral:rRNA from 1 species
AGCGAACGCUGGCGGCAGGCUUAACACAUGCAAGUCGAGCGGGCACUUCGGUGUCAGCGGCAGACGGGUGAGUAACACGUGGGAACGUACCCUUUGGUUCGGAAUAACGCUGGGAAACUAGCGCUAAUACCGGAUACGCCCUUUUGGGGAAAGGCUUGCUGCCGGAGGAUCGGCCCGCGUCUGAUUAGCUAGUUGGUGGGGUAAUGGCCUACCAAGGCGACGAUCAGUAGCUGGUCUGAGAGGAUGAUCAGCCACACUGGGACUGAGACACGGCCCAGACUCCUACGGGAGGCAGCAGUGGGGAAUAUUGGACAAUGGGCGCAAGCCUGAUCCAGCCAUGCCGCGUGGGUGAUGAAGGCCUUAGGGUUGUAAAGCUCUUUUGUCCGGGACGAUAAUGACGGUACCGGAAGAAUAAGCCCCGGCUAACUUCGUG